rnacentral:rRNA from 1 species
UACGAGGGGGGCGAGCGUUGUUCGGAAUUACUGGGCGUAAAGGGCUCGUAGGCGGCCAACUAAGUCAGACGUGAAAUCCCUCGGCUUAACCGGGGAACUGCAUCUGAUACUGGAUGGCUUGAGUUCGGGAGAGGGAUGCGGAAUUCCAGGUGUAGCGGUGAAAUGCGUAGAUAUCGGGAGGAACACCAGUAGCGAAGGCGGCACUCUGGGCCGUGACUGACGCUGAGGAGCGAAAGCGUGGGUAGCAAACAGG